GCCCCUUACAGUUCUGCCUUAACCACAGCUGUUAUCUAUCCUCAGCUGGGCAGUGGUUCGUGAAGAAAGAAGCACAAGGAGAGCAGCUGGUGAGCAGUGUGAGAGUUAAAGGCCCAGGCAGGGGUCAAGGGGCACAAAAGGGAAAAUAAAGCACCACGCCCUGAACUGCAUCCAUUUCUACAAGAAGAGAACAGGAGACAAGAGAAGGGACACAUGACUGCUGGGAUCCCUGUCAGUGUUUGCCAGCAGGAGAACGUUUGUCCUACAUCUGGCCACCCCUGAUGACACCUCAGAUCAUAGGAAGGACCCACGGACUCUUCCCAGGCUGGGAAGGAGCCUGGCCAAG
rnacentral:lncRNA from 1 species